UACGGAGGGUGCGAGCGUUAAUCGGAAUUACUGGGCGUAAAGCGCGCGUAGGCGGCGAGGUCAGUCGGAUGUGAAAGCCCCGGGCUUAACCUGGGAAUUGCAUUCGAAACUGCCUGGCUAGAGUAUGGGAGAGGGAAGCGGAAUUUCCGGUGUAGCGGUGAAAUGCGUAGAUAUCGGAAGGAACACCAGUGGCGAAGGCGGCUUCCUGGCCCAAUACUGACGCUCAGGUGCGAAAGCGUGGGUAGCGAACAGG
rnacentral:rRNA from 1 species